rnacentral:rRNA from 1 species
GACGAACGCUGGCGGCGUGCUUAACACAUGCAAGUCGAACGAAGAGCGAUGGAAGCUUGCUUCUAUCAAUCUUAGUGGCGAACGGGUGAGUAACGCGUAAUCAACCUGCCCUUCAGAGGGGGACAACAGUUGGAAACGACUGCUAAUACCGCAUACGAUCUAAUCUCGGCAUCGAGGAUAGAUGAAAGGUGGCCUCUACAUGUAAGCUAUCACUGAAGGAGGGGAUUGCGUCUGAUUAGCUAGUUGGAGGGGUAACGGCCCACCAAGGCGAUGAUCAGUGGCCGGUCUGAGAGGAUGAACGGCCACAUUGGGACUGAGACACGGCCCAGACUCCUACGGGAGGCAGCAGUGGGGAAUCUUCCGCAAUGGACGAAAGUCUGACGGAGCAACGCCGCGGGAGUGAUGACGGCCUUCGGGUUGUAAAGCUCUGUUAAUCGGGACGAAAGGCCUUCUUGCGAAUAGGGAGAAGGAUUGACGGUACCGGAAUAGAAAGCCACGGCUAACUACGUG